CUCUGAGACGUGAUACCGAGCCGCUUCAGGCGAAGUCAUUAAUCCUAUGCUGCCUAGAAAAGCCCAGUAGCGAGUUGACUUGGUGCCCGUACCCCAAACCAACACAGGUGGACAGGUAGAGCAUACCAAGGCGAGUGGGAUAACUAUGGUUAAGGAACUCGGCAAAUUUCCUCCGUAACUUCGGGAUAAGGAGGACCCCAGUAGCGUGACGAGACUUGCUCUCCGAGCGUGAAGGGGUGGCACAAAAUUGAGGGAAGCGACUGUUUACCAAAAACACAGCAGCGUGCUAAGCCGUAAGGCGCUGUAUACGCUGUGACUCCUGCCCGGUGCUGGAAGGUUACGGGGAUGGGUUAGUCCUUCGGGACGAAGCUCUGAACCUAAGCCCCAGUAAACGGCGGCCGUAACUAUAACGGUCCUAAGGUAGCGAAAUUCCUUGUCGGGUAAGUUCCGACCUGCACGAAUGGAGUAACGACUUCCCUACUGUCUCAACCAUAGACCCAGCGAAAUUGAAGUACGAGUAAAGAUGCUCGUUAGCUGCAGAAGGACGGAAAGACCCCGUGGACCUUUACUAUAACUUGAUGUUGUGUUUUGUCAUAUGUUGUGUAGGAUAGGUGGGAGACAAGGAAGCAUGGACGCUAGUCUGUGUGGAGUCAUCGUUGAAAUACCACCCUGCAUAUGGUGAGGCUCUAACCUAGACCCGUUAUCCGGGUUGGGGACAGCGUCAGGCGGGUAGUUUAACUGGGGCGGUUGCCUCCUAAAGAGUAACGGAGGCGCCCAAAGGUUCCCUCAGCCUGGUUGGCAAUCAGGCGUCGAGUGCAAUGGCAAAAGGGAGCUUGACUGCGAGACCUACAAGUCGAGCAGGAGCGAAAGCUGGGCAUAGUGAUCCGGCGGUUGCGUGUGGAAGCGCCGUCGCUCAACGGAUAAAAGGUACCCCGGGGAUAACAGGCUAAUCUUGCCCAAGCGUCCAUAGCGACGGCAAGGUUUGGCACCUCGAUGUCGGCUCAUCGCAUCCUGGGGCUGAAGCAGGUCCCAAGGGUUGGGCUGUUCGCCCAUUAAAGCGGUACGCGAGCUGGGUUCAGAACGUCGUGAGACAGUUCGGUCCCUAUCCUCUGUAGCCGUAGGUGAAUUGAGGAAAGCUGUCCCUAGUACGAGAGGACCGGGACGGACGCAGCUCUCGUGUGCCAGUUGUCCUGCCAAGGGCAUGGCUGGUUAGCGACCUGCGGAAAGGAUAACCGCUGAAAGCAUCUAAGCGGGAAGCCUCUUCCGAGAUGAAUUCACCCACAGGGUUAACCUGGUAAGGCCCGUGGUAGACCACACGUUGAUAGGCCGGAAGUGUAAGCGUGGCAACACGUUCAGCUGACCGGUACUAAUCGGCCGAGG
rnacentral:rRNA from 1 species